rnacentral:rRNA from 1 species
CCGGAAUCGCUAGUAAUCGCGGAUCAGAAUGCCGCGGUGAAUACGUUCCCGGGUCUUGUACACACCGCCCGUCACACCAUGGGAGUCGGGAAUGCCCGAAGUCAGUGACCCAACCUUAGGGAGGGAGCUGCCGAAGGCAGGCCUGGUGACUGGGGUGAAGUCGUAACAAGGUACC